rnacentral:rRNA from 1 species
AGCAGCCGCGGUAAUUCCAGCUCCAAUAGCGUAUAUUAAAGUUGUUGCAGUUAAAAAGCUCGUAGUUGAACUUCGGAAUUUAUUCAUUGGUCAGGCUUAACUGUCUGUACUGGUGUUUUGAAUUCCUACCUUCUGAGGAAUCUCCAUGCCAUUCACUUGGUGUGGUGGGGAAUCAGGACUGUUACUUUGAAAAAAUUAGAGUGUUUAAAGCAGGCUAACGUCUGAAUACAUUAGCAUGGAAUAAUAAAAUAGGACGGCUUGGUUCUAUUUUGUUGGUUUCUAGGAUCACCGUAAUGAUUAAUAGGGAUAGUUGGGGGCAUUAGUAUUCAAUUGUCAGAGGUGAAAUUCUUGGAUUUAUUGAAGACUAACUACUGCGAAAGCAUUUGCCAAGGAUGUUUUCAUUAAUCAAGAACGAAAGUUAGGGGAUCGAAGACGAUCAGAUACCGUCGUAGUCUUAACCAUAAACUAUGCCGACUAGGGAUCGGACGAAGUUAAUUUUUAAAUGACUUCGUCGGCUACCUUACGGGAAACCAAAGGUUG